rnacentral:lncRNA from 1 species
AUUUGCCUUUAAGCGCUUGGGCACUGGUGGGAGCUGCGUGUUCUGGGUGUCUUUAAGUGCACUGGGCUGGGCUAGGCAACGCAGCUCGUGUGUCCCGGGAAAGCUGCAGUCUGCUGAGUGUAAGAUACACACCCAGACCACACCUUCAGAGCCAUGCAAAGCUGGAAGGAGACAGAGAUAAGGUACACUGAAAGGAAGAAAGAAACUCCUCUCUCCAAGCUGCAUCUGCUUGCUCAGAGCAGCAGCUUGCUGAUGCAUGUGAUUGCCAGGCAUGGGGCUGGACCCCUGCCCAGGAGUGGCAAGGACAGGUACCCAGGCCACAUAUGACUGUUGUGCAGCUGAUGUACUUGGCUUGCUACCUACCACCGAUAGUGAUCAUUCUAAGAUGCAAAACAAUGAACACACUCAAGCUGAUUUUGGAUUUGACCAUACACAUUUCUCAGAAGAGGGAGCUUUCCUGGAGAAGGUGAAGAAAGAGAAGGAUAUUUGGCAGUGCUGAUUGCCUCCCAAAGCAAGUCUCUUCCCUCUGGCAGCAGAGAAGCGGAUUUUCUGCUCAACCUGCUUUGAUCACCAAAUGAGUCAGGGAGAAGAACAUGGAUGGAAAUAUCCUCAGUCAAGAACUUCACAAGCACCAGUUGCUUUAACCAGGGGCUCUAGAAAUUUUCUAGAAUAAAUGCUUCUCAAUUUGUAGUCUGCUUUUUGGUCACUUCACAGAUCAUUGGUAUGGUUACUUGUGACAAUUUUGUCCUUUUUUUUUUUCUUUUGAGACAGAGUGUCACUCUGUCACCAGGCUAGAGUGCAGUGGCAUGAUCUUGGCUCACUGCAACCUCCGCCUCGUUGGUUCAAAUGAUUCUCCUACCUCAGCUUCCCGAGUAGUUGGGACUACAGGCAGGCACCACCACACCCAGCUAAUUUUUCUAUGUUUAGUAGAGACGGGGUUUCACCAUGUUGGUCAGGAUGGUCUCGAUCUCUUGACCUCGUGAUCCGCCUGCCUCGGCCUCCCAAAGAAUUUUGUCCUGUUUUAUACUUGCUUUAUGAAGAGAAGAUUUCUCUGACCUCAUGCUACCAUAGUUGGAAGUUUCCCCUAGAUCUGAAGAUAUAUUUUCAAUUUAUAAAUAUGUGCUUUUAAAGAUGUGCCUUCUACUUUCCUUCUUCUCUUUCUGCAUAUGAAUAUUUAUUUAAGAGUAUAAACAUAGUUUUUUAAAGAUCAUCUACGGUUUAUCUACUUUGUGCAUGAUCCACAGUGACUCCGUUCCUGAUAUUAUUGCCUAGUUAGGUCUCUUAACUCAGACAAAAGAAUUCUAACAAAAGUGCAUUACAGUUAAAGACAGGGAGUUUAAUAUGUAUAAAUUUAUGUGUGUCUAUAAUUUAAGAGCAAGUAAAAUUUAUUUGAUUUGUGUUAUCUGUUAUGUCAUAAUUCACCUUUUAACUGUCAGAAAACAGCUUUUUCUGCUUCACUUCUACCUGGAAAAGCGUUCUUGGGAAAGUGCACUUGGUGAGGGUACCUUAGGAAAAUUUGAUACCCAAAUAAAAUGUUUUUUAAGCACUGUACAAA